AUUGAACGCUGGCGGCAGGCCUAACACAUGCAAGUCGAGCGGAUGAAGGGAGCUUGCUCCUGGAUUCAGCGGCGGACGGGUGAGUAAUUCCUAGGAAUCUGCCUGGUAGUGGGGGAUAACGUCCUGAAACGGGCGCUAAUACCGCAUACGUCCUGAGGGAGAAAGGGGGGGAGCUUCGGACCUCACGCUAUCAGAUGAGCCUAGGUCGGAUUAGCUAGUUGGUGGGGUAAAGGCCUACCAAGGCGACGAUCCGUAACUGGUCUGAGAGGAUGAUCAGUCACACUGGAACUGAGACACGGUCCAGACUCCUACGGGAGGCAGCAGUGGGGAAUAUUGGACAAUGGGCGCAAGCCUGAUCCAGCCAUGCCGCGUGUGUGAAGAAGGUCUUCGGAUUGUAAAGCACUUUAAGUUGGGAGGAAGGGCAGUAAGUUAAUACCUUGCUGUUUUGACGUUACCCAAAGAAUAAGCACCGGCUAACUUCGUG
rnacentral:rRNA from 1 species